UAUCUCUGUAGAGUCUGCAUAUCAAUAAGCGGAGGAAAAGAAACUAACAAGGAUUCCCUUAGUAACGGCGAGUGAAGCGGGAAGAGCUCAAAUUUGAAAUCUUCAAGGUUCUACCUUGACGAAUUGUAGUUUAAAGAAGUGUUUUCUGUUGGGGUUUUGGUAAAAGUUCUUUGGAAUAGGACAUCAUAGAGGGUGAGAAUCCCGUAUUUGGUCAUUCCUCCUAGCGUUGUGAUACACUUUCAACGAGUCGGAUUGUUUGGGAAUGCAGUCCAAAAUGGGUGGUAAAUUUCAUCUAAAGCUAAAUAUUGGCGAGAGACCGGUAGCGAACAAGUACCGUGAGGGAAAGAUGAAAAGAACUUUGAAAAGAAAGUUAAACAGUACGUGAAAUUGUCAAAAGGGAAGCGUUUGACACCAGUGUUGUUUAGUUGAAAAUCAAUUAAAUAAUUUGUGAUUUUAAGUAGUAUUGACUUCAUCAGCUUGCUGCUUUCUUUUUCAUAAAUUAUUUAAUGCACUUUUCAGUUAACAAGUCAACAUCAAUUUCUUUUGUUGUAAAAGGGUAAGAGGAAGGUGGCUUGCGCUUCGGCUCAAGUGUUUAUAGCCUUUUACCUCUGCAAUCGGAGAGAUUGAGGUCUGCAGCGUAGACUCUUCGGGGUUAGAUACAUUUGUGCUAAGUUAUAGCUUUUCAUAGACAACUUGUUGACUAUGAUCGGUCAUGUAGCUUACUCGCUUAUGUCUAUUUUACCUACGCUUAGGAUGUUGAUGUGAUACUGCGAGCA
rnacentral:rRNA from 1 species